rnacentral:rRNA from 1 species
GUUUUGAAUACACGGUCUAGCCUGCCCACUGAAUUCAUUUUGAAGGGCCGCGGUAUUUUGACCGUGCGAAGGUAGCGUAAUCAUUUGUCCCUUAAUUGGGGGCCAGUAUGAAUGGUUGGACAAGAAGUUAACUGUCUCCUGAGUUGGCAUUGAACUUUACUUCUGAGUGAAAAGGCUUAGAUGACGCGGGGGGACGAUAAGACCCUAUGAAGCUUGACAACUCCUCUUGUUGCUCUCGAAUUGGAGUCUAAGGGGAGUGUGCAAGAGUUUUGUUUCGUUGGGGCGACGGAGAUAUUAUUUGAGUAACUGUCUUUAUGAAUGAGAUAGUUCUGGCUAGGUUAGAAGAUCCUUCAUUGAGGAUUUCAAGAUUAAGUUACUUUAGGGAUAACAGCGUAAUUUUCUCUGAGAGUUCUUAUCGACGAGAUAAGUUGCGACCUCGAUGUUGAAUUAAGAUGUUAUCUAGGUGCAGCAGCUUGGAUAGUGGGUCUGUUCGACCCUUAAAAUCUUACGUGAUCUGAGUU